UACGGAGGGAGCUAGCGUUGUUCGGAAUUACUGGGCGUAAAGCGCGUGUAGGCGGGUCUUUAAGUCAGGGGUGAAAUGCCAGGCUCAACCUUGGAACUGCCUUUGAUACUGGAGACCUUGAGUCCGGGAGAGGUGAGUGGAACUGCGAGUGUAGAGGUGAAAUUCGUAGAUAUUCGCAAGAACACCAGUGGCGAAGGCGGCUCACUGGCCCGAUACUGACGCUGAGGCACGAAAGCGUGGGGAGCAAACAGG
rnacentral:rRNA from 1 species